AGUGGAUGGGGAGCAACCUAGUUGUGCGUGUGUAAAGGUAGUGCCAAGAAAAGCGGUGAUCAUGAUGAAAAUCAAUUCCCGGUACCCGAAACCGACACAGGUGGGCAAGUAGAGAAUACUAAGGGGCGCGAGGUAACUCUCUCCAAGGAACUCGGCAAAAUGACCCCGUAACUUAGGGAGAAGGGGUGCCACCGAGAGGUGGUCGCAGUGAAGAGGCCCAGGCGACUGUUUAGCAAAAACAUAGGUCUCUGCAAACUCGAAAGAGGAGGUAUAGGGGCUGACGCCUGCCCAGUGCCGGAAGGUUAAAGAAGUUGGUCAGUCUUAGGAUAAAGCUAGCGACUGAAGCCCCGGUGAACGGCGGCCGUAACUAUAACGGUCCUAAGGUAGCGAAAUUCCUUGUCGGGUAAGUUCCGACCCGCACGAAAGGCGUAACGAUCUGGGCGCUGUCUCGGAGAGAGGCUCGGCGAAAUAGGAUUGUCUGUGAAGAUACGGACUACCUGCAUUUGGACAGAAAGACCCUAUGAAGCUUUACUAUAGCUUGGAAUUGUGUUCGGGCUUCCUGUGCGCAGGAUAGGUGGGAGGCGAAGAAGGUAUUCUUGUGGGGAUACUGGAGCCAACGGUGAGAUACCACUCUCAGGAGGCUAGAAUUCUAACUUAAUUAAGGACAGUUUCUGGUGGGUAGUUUGACUGGGGCGGUCGCCUCCAAAAAGGUAACGGAGGCGUACAAAGGUUCCCUCAGACUGGUUGGAAAUCAGUCGCAGAGUGCAAAGGCAGAAGGGAGCUUGACUGCGAGAAGUACAGUUCGAGCAGGGUGGAAACACGGUCUUAGUGAUCCGACGGUGCUGUGUGGAAGGGCCGUCGCUCAACGGAUAAAAGUUACUCUAGGAUAACAGGCUGAUCUCCCCCAAGAGUUCACAUCGACGGGGAGGUUUGGCACCUCGAUGUCGGCUCAUCGCAACCUGGGGCGGAAGUACGUCCCAAGGGUUGGGCUGUUCGCCCAUUAAAGCGGUACGUGAGCUGGGUUCAGAACGUCGUGAGACAGUUCGGUCCAUAUCCGAUGUAGGCGUGAGAAUAUUGAGAGGAGCCUUCCUUAGUACGAGAGGACCGGGAAGGACGCACCGCUGGUGUACCUGUUAUGAUGCCAAUUGUAAACGCAGGGUAGCCAAGUGCGGAGAGGAUAACCGCUGAAAGCAUCUAAGUGGGAAGCCCACCUCAAGAUGAGUAUUCUGGUGUAAGGUCACGGGAAGACGACCCGUAAAUAGGCACGAGGUGGAAGUGCAGAGAUGUAUGAAGCCGAAGUGUACUAAUAGACCGUCGGC
rnacentral:rRNA from 1 species